ACCCAGGCGCCCCUCGUGUGGGUGUUCUGUGGGGCUUGAUGAUCUGCUCGGGGCUUUUCCUUCCAGCGCCGCAGCAGGUGCAGGAACGUGAGGCUCAGGUGUGGCCGCUUUCGGGGAGAGGAUCUGGACAGGGAAGCAGCCUGGAGGUCGACGGUGGCAUGCUUAAGCAAGCCUGAUUUCGGAGUUCUUGGGACUGGCCUUGCCAUUUCUGAGGCCAAGUGUUUGUGGUGGCUGAAAUCCCCGCCUCGGUCCUCCGGCUGCAAGGUUGGAGCGAGUGGGAGCGGACUGGUCCAGCCCUGCAGCCAGAGGCUCUGGGAGCAGGCCUGAGUGGAGGAGUUUUUACAGGGGUGUGGUUGGUGAGGCCCGGAGCCCACGGCCAAGAAAGAGUUCUUGAGAUGUCUUUUGUGCAAAAGGGGGAUUUUAUGAAAGCACGGGGACGGGACCUGGGGGCAGAAAGAGCUGCUGCCCCGGGGGUGUGAGGGGUGAUUGAUUGAGUACAUGGGGUCUGGGGGCGGUAGGGACGUAAGCAAGUGUCCAAAAGGACCUUCAUCUGCUGAAGAAGACUCCGGGACCCUGUCCAGCUGAGGCUGUUUCCCCUCCCGCAGAGCACUCACAUUCAGACAGGUGGGGGCUCCCUGGGGGAAAGUCACACACAUCCCACCUGGGCGUGAGGGGGCAGGUUGUGGGGGCGGCUCGGGCUUUGUCCUCGGCGCGCCUUCUGCUCCCGCAUCAGCUGGAACCAGCUCGAGAGUGCAGUUGGGCUGCAGAACCGGGGGCGUCUGGCUAAGGGGGCAUCAGGAAGGGUUUCUAGGGUGUGGGCCCGUGCUCGCUGGUGUUGGGGAUGGGUUACGGGAGUGACGCUUUGCUGGGGAUGUUGUUGGAGGAAGCGGGAGUGGGUGAGUGGAAGCCUAAGAUAUCGUACUCGGGAGAGAGAAGACUGGCCCCAGGCAGACCGUCUUCACUGGCCGGGAAACCCCGCAGGUCCUAGCAGGUGUGUUGCAGGGGGUUUGUCUGGGUUCAGACAGGCUAACGGAGCGCUCUGUUCUGCGUCCACGUCUCCGGCCGCUCGCACAGGGCCUGCCCGGUGGUGGUGAUGCCGGUGCCUGCGCCACACUCACACUCGCGGGGCACCAGCCGGCUCCUGGGGGCUGCUUUCCUCUUUGAACUUUCCUGUCCACACUGGGACACCGCUGAGGGACCGGGGCUGCCAUGGAUGAUCCUGCUGGGACUAUCAAUGAUGAUAGAGGAUUAAAGUGGGAGCGCCCUCGGGAAACCAGCAGGAGCCGCACUCGCCGGAAUCUUGCUGGUUCACUUCUGCUCUCACUUCCCUCCCGAGAGCCUUGAUUGAGCUGGUUUUCCUCAGGCUGAUGCUGACCACCGGCUGAGCCAGCAUACAAGUGCCUUCCUCAGUGGGCUGUGGGCGGGGAGGGUUCAGCUGGGGAGACCCACUGAAGGCACCGCUCGCAGAGGAGGGGCUGGAGGGGUCGGUAUGGCCGGGCUGGUCACUUUACCACUGGCAGGAGCGGGGUUGGGGGCCAGCCAGCCACCUAAGCUGGGGGGCUGCAGCUGUGGAGGGUCUCUGGCAGAGGCCCGAGAGGGAACGGACAGGAUGGGGCAGAGGCUGGGGUGGGCGGCGAUCAGCCUCUCGGUCUAGAAGCUUCCGAGCUGCAGAUGAGCUGUCUGUGCAUCCCCUGUAUUCUUGCCUCGUUCCCCCAACCACCUUAGAGGCGGGUCUGCCGGGCCGGUCACACCCAUUUUACAGAGGAAGAGAGCGGGUCCGGGUCUCUGGGGCUGGACAGGAGCAGGAGCCGGGGUCGGGCUCCGGCUUCCAGCUCCGCCAACAACAGCAAGAGUGGGCAGGACCGGGAGAGGGUGCUCUGGGCCAGGCCGUGUGCGGGACCAGGGGCCUGCCAGCUGGGGAGGGCGUAGGUAGUGGUGUAGCACCCCCAGAGCCAAGCCAGCUGCAGGGAAGGGGUUUUCCAGGUCUGCAGUGGCAUUCGGCAAAUGCAAAUGAUUUUGACAUCCUGUCGGGAGGAGGGGAUCUGUUAUCACCUCCUCUGCUGUUCAUCCUCCCGCCCUGUUUGUUUGGAGGCUGGGGCCCAGAGGACGCCUCACAGAGCUCUGCUGGAGAGCAGAGAGAAGGGGACUGGGACAGACUUGGUCCACUGUGAAAGCUGUGGGGGAGUCGGGCUGGCUCUGAUGGAGAACACAGACCUCCAGAAAGUGUCAGAGAACCUGGGAUCAGAAGGAUGUGUCCAACGCACAUGUGUGUGAGUGUGUGCGUGUGUCUGUGCAGACACACACGUGUGCAGUGUUGGCAGGAUGGGGAGAGCCAGCUCUGGAGAGUUGUUGGGACCGUAGACAGCCCGCCUGAGGACAGGGAGUGUGCAGUAGGAUCAGGGGCGGGGGGCGGGGGGCUGGCUCUGCUCACUGGGAAGGAGAGACUGGACAGGAUCUGAUAGGAGGGUGACUUGUGUCCAGAUUUGCCCUGGACAGAUUUGUUCUGGGUAAUUAUUAUAGCUUCUUCUUUUGUUCUCAGAAAUGUCCCCAAUAAAUUAUUUGCUCACCCUCUGUAAUGGGGAAUGGAAACCACUGUGGGCUCAGAUACCUCAAGCCGGAGUGCUGAGCCGAGCCAGCUCUGCCUGUCCUCUGUUCCUGGUCUGACCGUGACCUUUCACUCUUCUUCUGUCUCUGGGUCCGUUCCUGAUUUCUGGCAGAGUGUCUUCUGUGUCUCUUCUCCAGACCACUGGUUGAGCACACAUAGCCCUGAGUUUAUAGAAGAUAGAAACCGAGCGCUGUCCCAGAGGCCAGGGGCUUGGUCCUUCCUGUGACUAAUUGUUCAUUACCCUUGUGCCUCCAAGACCCCACGUGCCUCCUCCCUCAGAGCGUGUGCGUGCCGUGACCUCCCACGGGGAGAGCCCGCUUGCCCACAGUGGGACAACCGCGGAGGGAGCGGAGGUCACUUUCCAGGGACGGCGCACUCACCGGGCGUGAGGGCACGUCGCUGUUUACAUUCAGUACGCGGAUAGCCGUAGGUCUUGACCAGCUUCAGGGAGGGCUUGGAAAACAUCAAAGUAGAACUCUGUCUGAAAAUGGACUACGGCUCCGUCUCCAAAACCUCCACACCUUCCGUCCUGGGUAUCUCAGCAUCUCUCAGGACAGUCUCGGAGCAGGGGCCGGACGGCUGUCUCAGAACGCUGUACUUUGCAAUCCGCGGGCGUUUAAUGAAGCCUCUGUGAUCGUGAGGAUAACAGGAUGCCGCCAUCUGGGAUCCUGGAGGCUUGAGAUGGAAUCAGAGGGAAGUGGAAGGCAACGCACGUUCGGGAAGCUGAGCGACAUACCAACAACACAGCCUCCCUGUCCGCGUUUUUCCACAGAGCGCACCAUCCGAAACAAGAAACUAUGACUAACGUGCAUUGAAACAUUUUCAACAUCUCAAACUCAAGCUGGCCUUCAGCGUUGGUGAAGUUCUGGGCCACGUGUCUUCUGGUCUCAGCUCCUGCUCCUCCGCCCCGAAAUAGCGCCGUGUCUGUGUCAUGUCUCCUGGUGGCUCUGGGCUGCUCCGCUGCCCCGCCACAGCUCCACGUCACCUGGUCUCCUACCUGAAUCAGCCUGCUUUUCUCCAUGCUCCACUCGCCCGCUCCAGGCUCUGGCCGUUCACCCCACUCAUGUCCCUCUGAACAUUCGGUGACAGUCAUUAGUAGCACUUCUGCAAUAAGCACUGGGUCUUCGCCCCAAGGUCCCACUUAGUGGUUGGGUGACCUCAGGUCAGAAAUGUCAACUUUUUGAAACUUGGUUUCUUUGUGUGGGAGGAGCGCACCCAGGUGCCCUUGUUUGUGGGUGAGCCAGGCUAAGGGGCUGCUGGGGUGGUGGGGGGGGACUGGUCCAUGAGACACACAGGUGGAGGGGAGCACUGGGUACCCGAGUCUAAAUGAAGCGUGACUUUUACACGGUACAUCUUGCUUGUCCCAGCCCUACCCCCAGAGUCCAUGUGUCGUCAGCCAAAGUUCAUCUCUAAAACCCAUUACCGGGGCGUCUGGAUUCCUGUUCUCUUCUGUGGGCCCAGGCGGCAAGAGCCUGCCCCUGUGGGAGCCCACCCUGAGCUUCUCUGCCUCCGGGAUUCUUUCCUCCGGAGAUCGCUUCGUGACUGAGGGAGAGUUCUCCAAAUGUAUUCCCGAAAGAAACAAAGCUCUGUACCUGGUCCCUUUGACUUUCCAGAAAGUUAUUACUGGCUGUUUCUUGAUGCUUUAUUUUAGAGAAUUUUCUGCCCACCGUGCAGGCCUGGCUCACCCUGUGGAGGUCAGUCGCAAGUGCCACAGAGCUUCGUGUUCGUCGUGGAGCCACUGACCUCUAGCAGGAGGCCUGUUAGCAAAGGGACAGUGCGUCACCGCGGGCAGUGAGCGCUGCCUGCCACGGGCUGUCGGGAGCGACGGGCGUCAUAGUGUUCGAUGUCUCGCCGCCGACUGACUGAUGUGGGAGGCCACAGGCAGGGGUCCUCUAACUGUUUCCUUUGAAAAAGUCCAGGCCUACCCUCUGUUUGAUAGAACUCAAUGUCCAGCACCUACAAACUCAACUGCGGUCUUUACUGUCACUUUACACACGUUCAGUUUUUGAAAAUUGGGUAAGACACGUCCCUUUUUAAAUUGAAGAGAAUGACUGUGUAAAAUCCCCCAUUUUCAGGCUAAUCACUGGAAACAGGUUUCCUGUGCUUAGAAAAAGCACGGAAAGAAGGACACACCAAUAUGGAGAUUGUCGUUUUGUAAUUUUUUUUUUCAAUUUGUUUUCCCCUUUCCCUCUCAACACUAUUUCCUAAAUAAAUGUACCUGGUGUAUUUAACUUC